GUACUCGCUUUGGCGGUAUAUAUAUUAAAAUUGGAACGAUACAGAGAAGAUUAGCAUGGCCUCCGCGCAAGGAUGACAAAAAAAAAUGGUAGGGUGACCGCUCUCGA